CAAUAGCGUAUAUUAAAGUUGUUGCGGUAAAAAAGCUCGUAGUUGGAUUUCUACCGAAGAUAGCCGGUCGGGUCUUCGACCUUGUAUCUGGUUUUGUCUUUGGUAUCCUCAUAGGGAACGUUUCUGCGCUUUAUUGCGUGGUGCGGUAUCUAUGACUUUUACUUUGAGGAAAUUAGAGUGUUCACGGCAGGCAAACGCCUUGAAUAUAUUAGCAUGGAAUAAUAACAUAGGAUCUUCGUCCUAUUUUGUUGGUUUCCAGGGCUAAGAUAAUGAUUAAUAGGGAUAAUUGGGGGCAUCUGUAUCAACGCGUCAGAGGUGGAAUUCUUGGAUUGCGUUGCGACAAACUACUGCGAAAGCAUUUGCCAAGGAUGUUUUCAUUGA
rnacentral:rRNA from 1 species